rnacentral:rRNA from 1 species
GCGGCGUGCCUAAUACAUGCAAGUCGAACGAGUUCUGAUUAUUGAAAGGUGCUUGCAUCUUGAUUUUAAUUUUGAACGAGUGGCGGACGGGUGAGUAACACGUGGGUAACCUGCCCUUAAGUGGGGGAUAACAUUUGGAAACAGAUGCUAAUACCGCAUAAAUCCAAGAACCGCAUGGUUCUUGGCUGAAAGAUGGCGUAAGCUAUCGCUUUUGGAUGGACCCGCGGCGUAUUAGCUAGUUGGUGAGGUAACGGCUCACCAAGGCAAUGAUACGUAGCCGAACUGAGAGGUUGAUCGGCCACAUUGGGACUGAGACACGGCCCAAACUCCUACGGGAGGCAGCAGUAGGGAAUCUUCCACAAUGGACGCAAGUCUGAUGGAGCAACGCCGCGUGAGUGAAGAAGGCUUUCGGGUCGUAAAACUCUGUUGUUGGAGAAGAAUGGUCGGCAGAGUAACUGUUGUCGGCGUGACGGUAUCCAACCAGAAAGCCACGGCUAACUACGUGCCAGCAGCCGCGGUAAUACGUAGGUGGCAAGCGUUAUCCGGAUUUAUUGGGCGUAAAGCGAGCGCAGGCGGUUUUUUAAGUCUGAUGUGAAAGCCCUCGGCUUAACCGAGGAAGUGCAUCGGAAACUGGGAAACUUGAGUGCAGAAGAGGACAGUGGAACUCCAUGUGUAGCGGUGAAAUGCGUAGAUAUAUGGAAGAACACCAGUGGCGAAGGCGGCUGUCUGGUCUGUAACUGACGCUGAGGCUCGAAAGCAUGGGUGGCGAACAGGAUUAGAUACCCUGGUAGUCCAUGCCGUAAACGAUGAAUGCUAGGUGUUGGAGGGUUUCCGCCCUUCAGUGCCGCAGCUAACGCAUUAAGCAUUCCGCCUGGGGAGUACGACCGCAAGGUUGAAACUCAAAGGAAUUGACGGGGGCCCGCACAAGCGGUGGAGCACGUGGUUUAAUUCGAAGCAACGCGAAGAACCUUACCAGGUCUUGACAUCUUUUGAUCACCUGAGAGAUCAGGUUUCCCCUUCGGGGGCAAAAUGACAGGUGGUGCAUGGUUGUCGUCAGCUCGUGUCGUGAGAUGUUGGGUUAAGUCCCGCAACGAGCGCAACCCUUAUGACUAGUUGCCAGCAUUUAGUUGGGCACUCUAGUAAGACUGCCGGUGACAAACCGGAGGAAGGUGGGGAUGACGUCAAAUCAUCAUGCCCCUUAUGACCUGGGCUACACACGUGCUACAAUGGAUGGUACAACGAGUUGCGAGACCGCGAGGUCAAGCUAAUCUCUUAAAGCCAUUCUCAGUUCGGACUGUAGGCUGCAACUCGCCUACACGAAGUCGGAAUCGCUAGUAAUCGCGGAUCAGCACGCCGCGGUGAAUACGUUCCCGGGCCUUGUACACACCGCCCGUCACACCAUGAGAGUUUGUAACACCCGAAGCCGGUGGCGUAACCCUUUUAGGGAGCGAGCCGUCUAAGGUGGGACAAAUGAUUAGGG